CUUCGGGAGCCGUAAGACAGGUGCUGCAUGGCUGUCGUCAGCUCGUGUCGUGAGAUGUGGUUAAGUCCGCAACGAGCGCAACCCCUAUCCUCAGUUGCCAUCAUUAAGUUGGGCACUCUGUGGAGACUGCCGGUGUCAAACCGGAGGAAGGUGGGGAUGACGUCAAGUCCUCAUGGCCCUUAUGACCAGGGCUACACACGUGCUACAAUGGCCGGUACAAAGAGUUGCGAUACCGCGAGGUGGAGCUAAUCUCAUAAAGCCAGUCGUAGUCCGGAUCGCAGUCUGCAACUCGACUGCGUGAAGUCGGAAUCGCUAGUAAUCGCGGAUCAGAAUGUCGCGGUGAAUACGUUCCCGGGUCUU
rnacentral:rRNA from 1 species